rnacentral:rRNA from 1 species
AUGGCAGAUUCAGGAGCUGAUGGGGGUGGUGAUGCUUAUGAUCCAAUGAAAGAUCCAGAACGCAGGCCACGGAGGUCAAAUGAUCCAGGCUGGAAUUAUGGGUAUUGGUUGACACCUGGCAACAGCAAUAAUGUUGUGUGCAAUCUUUGUGGCAAGAUAACUAAAGGAGGGAUCAAGAGACACAAAGAGCAUCUUGCUGGCACCGGUGGGGAUGCAACGGGUUGUCCAAAGGCUACCACACAGCUUAGGAGGGAGAUGUUAGAAUAUUUGGAAAAGAACAGGAGAAACAUAGGACAGCCAGAUGAUGAUGAUGAUGUAGUGGAGGUAGAUGUAGCAGGGACAGUUCAAAGCUCCACUAAUGAAGCAACAGCUCAAUGCUUCGCUACAAGACCAAGUUCAGGGACAGCAGCCAAGAACAAGAAAGCCUUUGCAGUAAAAAUAUCAGGCAAAAAGUGUCAAUCUGUUGCUCUCAAGUCAAUUGUUUCCAUGCUUAGGAAGAAACCUGAGGAUGUUGUCGAUGAAAGACGCUCCGGUUGCUCUCAAAGCACCAUGGAGUCCAGCACAAAAACACCGGAAGAGAGGCACUAUGUGAGUAUGCAGUGGGCAUUGUUUUUCUAUGAGUGUGGCAUUCCUUUCAAUGUUGCAAGCUGUAGGCAAUUCCAGAUUGCAAUAGAAGCCUCUUGUCAAUAUGGCCCAGGUUACAAGCCUCCUUCUCCUCAUGAGCUGCGAGAGCCAUUGCUUAGGGAUUGUGUCAAGGAAACAAAAAAGUUGAGGGUGAAGCACGAGGUAGCAUGGAAGCAAUAUGGCUGCACACUAAUGUCAGAUGGCUGGUCCGAUAAAAGGGGACGCCACUUGAUCAACUUCCUUGUAAACAGCCCGGCGGGCACUUACUUCUUGGAGUCGGUUGAUGCAUCAAGUGAAUGCCAAGAUGCUCGGAUGAUAGCAGAUUUGCUAGAGAAGAGAAUCGAGGAUGUCGGUAAAGAGUAUGUUGUCCAAGUUGUCACCGACAAUGGUGCUAACUACAAGGCAGCGGGUAAGAUACUAAUGGAAAGGAUUCCUACACUAUAUUGGAGUCCAUGUGCAUGCCAUUGCUUGGACCUGAUGUUGGAAGAUAUAGGGAAGCUAAAGCCAUUUAAGAGGCCUAUUGCACGGGGUAGACGAGUCACCACUUUCAUCUAUAGGCAUGGCAGAAUUCUUAGUCUAAUGAGGAAGGCAACGGGUGGGCUGGAUCUUGUGAGACCCGCAGCCACUCGCUUUGCCACAUCCAUUCUUGCUCUUAAGAGUUUGGUCAAGCACAAGCAAGCAUUGAGGAGUCUAUUUACAUGUCAAGCAUGGGUUGGAAACAAAUUGGCCAAAACUGCAGCCGGUUUGAAUGUGCAAGACAUUGUGCUUUCAGCAGAUUGGUGGCAUGCAAUUGAGGACUGCCUUAGAGCUUCAGGUCCACUACUUCGAGUGCUUAGGGUAGCGGAUGGUGAUGAGAUUCCUGCCAUGCCAGAAAUGACAGCACUAAUGAGGUUUGCAAAGGAGAAGAUCAAUCAAGGUUUCCCCCACCAAAACAAGCAAGCUUUGCUCAAGAAGAUCAUUGACAUUGUUGACAAACGUUGGGAGAAUCAAAUGGAUCAUCCAUUAUAUGGGGCUGCUUUGUUUUUGAACCCUGGAAAAUACUUCUCUAUUGCUGAGAGUGGUGAUGAUGCCCUAAUUGGGGAGCUAAGAAGUUGUUUUAAUGAUGUCCUUGCACGAACAGUACUUGAUGUCAAUACUCGCAACAAGAUUGAUGCACAAGCCGUUCUCUAUGAGGACAAGAGAGGACCCUUUGCUAAUCCGAUGGCAAUCGAUAACAUGGUCCAGAAAAACCCUCGUAAGUGA